rnacentral:snoRNA from 1 species
UUCACAAGUCAAGUCAGCUGUGAAUUUAAAUUUAAUAUUGUGAAUUCCACAGCGUUACACUUGUGAUAGAGCAAAUUUAAAAUAGGCAACUGUGCCACGCCCCCGCCUAAAUGUGCACACUGUUCUAGUGUGUGCGACCGGGCAAUGGGUGUGUGUGGUUCUUGGUUGUGUACUUCCCUAGAGAGUUGAAUUAGUUGAAU